UACGGAGGGUGCAAGCGUUAUCCGGAUUUACUGGGUUUAAAGGGUGCGUAGGUGGGUCUGUAAGUCAGUGGUGAAAUCUCCGAGCUUAACUCGGAAACUGCCAUUGAUACUAUAGAUCUUGAAUUAUCUGGAGGUGAGCGGAAUAUGUCAUGUAGCGGUGAAAUGCUUAGAUAUGACAUAGAACACCAAUUGCGAAGGCGGCUCACUACGGAUUGAUUGACACUGAGGCACGAAAGCGUGGGGAUCAAACAGG
rnacentral:rRNA from 1 species